CCUACGGGUGGCAGCAGUCGAGGAUCAUUUGCAAUGGGCGAAAGCCUGACAAUGCGACGCUGCGUGGAGGAUGAAGGCCUUCGGGUUGUAAACUCCUGUCAUAAGGGAACAGGCGAGGGUACCCAAUACGUACCUGAGUUGAGUGUACUUUAAGAGGAAGCGACGGCUAACUCUGUGCCAGCAGCCGCGGUAAUACAGAGGUCGCAAGCGUUGUUCGGAUUUACUGGGCGUAAAGGGCGCGUAGGCGGUCCCAUGUGUCGGAUGUGAAAUCUCCGGGCUCAACCCGGAAAGUGCGUCCGAAACUGUGGGACUCGAGUCUGGGAGAGGGAAUCGGAAUGCAGGGUGUAGCGGUGAAAUGCGUUGAUAUCCUGCAGAACACCGGAGGCGAAGGCGGAUUCCUUGAACAGCACUGACGCUGAGGCGCGAAAGUCGGGGGAGCAAACAGGAUUAGAUACCCGGGUAGUC
rnacentral:rRNA from 1 species